rnacentral:rRNA from 1 species
AUACGUAGGUGGCAAGCGUUGUCCGGAAUUAUUGGGCGUAAAGCGCAUGUAGGCGGUUUGGUAAGUCGGUCGUGAAAAUGCGGUGCUUAACGCCGUAUGGCGAUCGAAGCUGCUGAACUUGAGUGCAGGAGAGGAAAGGGGAACUCCCAGUGUAGCGGUGAAAUGCGUAGAUAUUGGGAAGAACACCGGUGGCGAAGGCGCCUUUCUGGACUGUGUCUGACGCUCAGAUGCGAAAGCCAGGGUAGCGAACGGGAUUAGAUACCCCGGUAGUCCUGGCCGUAAACGAUGGGUACUAGGUGUGGGAGGUAUCGACUCCUUCCGUGCCGGAGUUAACGCAAUAAGUACCCCGCCUGGGGAGUACGGCCGCAAGGCUUAAACUCAAAGGAAUUGACGGGG